UUGGCGAUAGUGAUUGGUUCAAGGAUACACAUGUAACCCAUUUUGAGCCAAUGAGAGUCAGGCUUAGGGUUUUUGCUGAAACAAUUGAGAGAAAGAAGCUAGGGGUGCUGAGCUGAACCUACAGAGGUGCUGGGGCCACCAAGCGGAGAGAUGGAUUGAGGCUGAGUCCUGAUGUCAUCGUCUCAGUCUCUGGACCCAGCCGUGCCUGAAGCCACGUCCUUUUUGGUUUAAACUUCCUUGAAUUGGUCACUGCUGUAGGUUCAGCAGAUGAAAGAUGCUGAACCAACUGGACCCCAAACCCACGCCCUCUUCCGACACUGCGCCGCCAUCAGCCCAGAUCCACCAACCUGGCUCCCCCCGGGGAGCAGACGAGGUCCACCAACCCAGGUCCCCCCGGGGAGCAGACGAGCACGUGGGCACGGCUUUGCUGUUGUUUUCGCCUUUGGAUCAAACUAGCCCCAGGGACUUGGGAAGCAUAGCAGAGCCCAGGAAGCUCUCUGCACCUUUCCCUCUGCGUCCUUCCCAGUCACCUGCUGUAUCUUCCCUCCUUUCCAGGAAGGAGGCAAUUAGAGACAAGUGAAAUGUAAGCUUCCAUCCACCAUCUCAAAGGAGGCAGAAACAUGGCUUGGAACCCAAACGUAACACUUCACAGGCUUUGUAUCUGGCACACUUUUGUUAUUCUUGUCAUCCUAGGGAUGUUUUCUUAUGGUGUCCAGGAAAAAAAAAGAAAGAAAGAAAGCCCUUAUGAAGAAAAGAGAACCAAAGUGGGGAGCCUGCUUAUGCCAGCAUCUACAUAGAUUUCCAGCAUCACUGCUGGUUUGAUAAAUGCAGCUCCUCUGCCCCUGGCUCGUGUGUGACCAUGUUUUUGGCAAGAGCUACAUCCCAAGGUCUCAAGUGCUGUCUGACGACACAUCACUGUGUAUAGUUCCUGAGGGACUUUGCUCUCCGAACCUCGUGUGACAAUAACCCUGAGGAGCCCCAGUCCCCACCCUGCCAUGUGAGUGGGACUUAGGUACAGGCAAGAUUUAAUAAGUAGGCUGUCACUGCUAUUUUGCAGGGAUCAGUUAGGACAAAGGACACCCAGGCAGGCCAGGGC
rnacentral:lncRNA from 1 species